rnacentral:rRNA from 1 species
CAGUAGCCGCGGGAAUACGGAGGGUGCAAGCGUUAAUCGGAAUUACUGGGCGUAAAGCGCACGCAGGCGGUCUGACAAGUCAGAUGUGAAAUCCCCGGGCUUAACCUGGGAACUGCAUUUGAAACUGUCAGGCUGGAGUCUUGUAGAUGGGGGUGGAAUUCCAGGUGUAGCGGUGAAAUGCGUAGAGAUCUGGAGGAAUACCGGUGGCGAAGGCGGCCCCCUGGACAAAGACUGACGCUCAGGUGCGAAAGCGUGGGGAGCAAACAGGAUUAUAUACCCCGGUAGUCCCUGUCUCUUAUAC